rnacentral:rRNA from 1 species
UACGUAGGGGGCGAGCGUUGUCCGGAAUUAUUGGGCGUAAAGAGCGUGUAGGCGGUUCGGUAAGUCUGCCGUGAAAACCUGGGGCUCAACCCCGGGCGUGCGGUGGAUACUGCCGGGCUAGAGGGUGGUAGAGGCGAGUGGAAUUCCUGGUGUAGCGGUGAAAUGCGCAGAUAUCAGGAGGAACACCGAUGGCGAAGGCAGGUCUCUGGGCCACUACUGACGCUGAGAAGCGAAAGCAUGGGGGAGCGAACAGG